AUCUGGCCCGAUCGAAGCUGAACCAAACUAUAUGUUUGGUGUCAGUCAAAGCGCGGCCUACAGUAUAGUUUGACAUAUGGUCGCACGACGCAUCACCAAUAUGAGAUCGUGCAUUACCCAUGUCAAAUACACAU